rnacentral:rRNA from 1 species
UCGAGCGGUAAGGCCCUUCGGGGUACACGAGCGGCGAACGGGUGAGUAACACGUGAGCAAUCUGCCCUUCACUUUGGGAUAAGCGUUGGAAACGACGUCUAAUACCGAAUGCAACCACUCCCGGCAUCGGGUGGUGGUGGAAAGUUCCGGCGGUGAAGGAUGAGCUCGCGGCCUAUCAGCUUGUUGGUGAGGUAAUGGCUCACCAAGGCUUCGACGGGUAGCCGGCCUGAGAGGGUGACCGGCCACACUGGGACUGAGACACGGCCCAGACUCCUACGGGAGGCAGCAGUGGGGAAUAUUGGACAAUGGGCGAAAGCCUGAUCCAGCAACGCCGCGUGAGGGAUGACGGCCUUCGGGUUGUAAACCUCUUUCAGCAGGGACGAAGCGCAAGUGACGGUACCUGCAGAAGAAGCACCGGCCAACUACGUGCCAGCAGCCGCGGUAAUACGUAGGGUGCGAGCGUUGUCCGGAAUUAUUGGGCGUAAAGGGCUCGUAGGCGGUUUGUCACGUCGGGAGUGAAAACUCGGGGCUUAACCCCGAGCCUGCUUCCGAUACGGGCUGACUAGAGGUAUGCAGGGGAGAACGGAAUUCCUGGUGUAGCGGUGAAAUGCGCAGAUAUCAGGAGGAACACCGGUGGCGAAGGCGG